rnacentral:rRNA from 1 species
UACAGAGGUCUCAAGCGUUGUUCGGAUUCAUUGGGCGUAAAGGGUGCGUAGGUGGCGCUGUAAGUCGGGUGUGAAAUUUCGGAGCUUAACUCCGAAACUGCAUUUGAUACUGUGGUGCUUGAGGACUGGAGAGGAGACUGGAAUUUACGGUGAUAGCAGUGAAAUGCGUAGAUAUCGGGAGGAACACCUGUGGCGAAAGCGGCGCACUGGACCACAACUGACGCUGGAGGCGCGAAAGCCUAGGGGAGCAAACAGG